GACGUAGGGCGCGAGCGUUGUCCGGAUUUAUUGGGCGUAAAGAGCUCGUAGGCGGCUUGUCGCGUCGUUCGUGAAAACCUGCAGCUCAACUGCAGGCUUGCGGUCGAUACGGGCAGACUAGAGUGCGGUAGGGGAGACUGGAAUUCCUGGUGUAGCGGUGAAAUGCGCAGAUAUCAGGAGGAACACCGGUGGCGAAGGCGGCCUGCUGGGCAGUGGCUGACGCUGAGGCGCGACAGCGUGGGGAGCAAACAGG
rnacentral:rRNA from 1 species